AACGUAGGACGCAAGCGUUAUCCGGAGUUACUGGGCGUAAAGCGCGGGCAGGCGGCUCUUGAAGUCUGAUGUGAAAGCGCCCGGCUCAACCGGGCGAGGCCAUUGGAAACUCGAGAGCUGGAGGGCAGUAGAGGCAGGCGGAAUUCCGGGUGGAGUGGUGAAAUGCGUAGAGAUCCGGAGGAACACCAGAGGCGAAGGCGGCCUGCUGGGCUGCACCUGACGCUGAGCCGCGAAAGCCAGGGGAGCGAACGGG
rnacentral:rRNA from 1 species